rnacentral:rRNA from 1 species
CAAGUCGAACGAGAAAGUGGAGCAAUCCAUGAGUAAAGUGGCGCACGGGUGAGUAACACGUGACUAACCUACCCUUGAGUGGGGAAUAACUUCGGGAAACCGAGGCUAAUACCGCAUAACACCCACGGGUCAAAGGAGCAAUUCGCUUAAGGAGGGGGUCGCGGCAGAUUAGUUAGUUGGCGGGGUAAUGGCCCACCAAGACGGUGAUCUGUAUCCGGCCUGAGAGGGCGCACGGACACACUGGAACUGAAACACGGUCCAGACUCCUACGGGAGGCAGCAGUGGGGAAUUUUGCGCAAUGGGGGGAACCCUGACGCAGCAACGCCGCGUGGAGGAUGAAGUCCCUUGGGACGUAAACUCCUUUCGAUCGGGACGAUUAUGACGGUACCGGAAGAAGAAGCCCCGGCUAACUUCGUGCCAGCAGCCGCGGUAAUACGAGGGGGGCGAGCGUUGUUCGGAAUUAUUGGGCGUAAAGGGCGCGUAGGCGGUCGAACAAGUCUUGUGUGAAAUCUUCGGGCUCAACUCGAAGUCUGCACGAGAAACUGUCCGGCUUGAGUGUGGGAGAGGUGAGUGGAAUUCCUGGUGUAGCGGUGAAAUGCGUAGAUAUCAGGAGGAACACCUGUGGCGAAAGCGGCUCACUGGACCACAACUGACGCUGAGGCGCGAAAGCUAGGGGAGCAAACAGGAUUAGAUACCCUGGUAGUCCUAGCCCUAAACGAUGAUCGCUUGGUGUGACGGGUACCCAAUCCCGCCGUGCCGAAGCUAACGCGUUAAGCGAUCCGCCUGGGGAGUACGGUCGCAAGGCUGAAACUCAAAGGAAUUGACGGGGGCCCGCACAAGCGGUGGAGCAUGUGGUUUAAUUC